AGGUAUCCACGGGAGUUCAUUCCUCUGUAGUCCCUUCCCAGAAAAAGGCUUCAUUCUGCUCACUCGGCUGGAGCACCGGCAUCAGCCAGCUCACCGCAGGGCCCCAUGGGAGGCAGCUGGCCUUCUCGUCCUGCCUGCAUCCCACCCAAGAGUAUUCUAGAACAUGACACUAUUUACAUAGCCGUUCUGACGGUGAACGCUUCAGUUGUACGGGAGGACUCUGAUCACAUGUUGACUGUGUUUGAUUUCUAAGAUUGGGUGGAGAGCACACAGAAGUUCUGUCUACAGACCUUAUUUUUCCUCAUUUGAAGUAGCCGAGCCCAGCGAGAAGUCCUAUCGAUUCUGCCAAACUUCCAGGCCUUGCCGUGCAGGUCACAGGCACGCGGGAUUUCUGGGAGCGGAUGAAGUGCUUCCUCAUGGAGGGGCCGAGCACAGCGAGCAGGUACCCACUGCGGGAGCACAGAUGCAGCUGUCACUGUGGCUUCGCCACACACCCUGCGGUCCUGGCCUGCCCUGCAAGCCCCCACGGGCAGUCCCACACCCAGUGCUAGAAACCCAGGGAAGCCGGGGACAAAAGACACUCCAGGGAAGACGGUUUCUCCUCGAAUGGCUGAGGCACUGCCCGUGGAGUCUCUGUAAGGAAACAAAGAGGGAAGGGUCUAAGCUGGGGGCGCCGUGGGACGCUGGCUCUCCUGGAAGCCACUCCGUGCACUUCCUUAUUUAAGGAAAGCAGAGAAAAAGAAGCGCCGAGGACCCGAGAGAAUAAAUAUGCUGGAAAUAA